CAAAGCAAGAAUGAAAGUCACAAAAACUUACAAAAUGUCUAAGGGGGUAUAGAGAAAGAACUCAUUAGUUACUGAAAAAAGUGUUCAAUAUUGCAGGUGAGGGGUAGAUGUUAGGAGCGUGAGAUUCAGAUCGGAAGAUGUACAUUUUCUUGAUAUGGGGUCAAGUGUCCAUUCACUGUGGGGCGUCUGCAUUUGCCAGCCUUUUGAAUGAAACCUGGGAGUGUGGGGAGAGAGAAAGCACACAUCACUUACAUUUCUUUGGGGGCAACUUCCUAUGUAUUAGCAGCCAUGCCUUUUGUUAUGUACAGUGGUACCUCAGGUUAAGUACUUAAUUCGUUCCGGAGGUCUGUACUUAACCUGAAACAGUUCUUAACCUGAAGCACCACUUUAGCUAAUGGGGCCUCCUGCUGCUGCCGUGCCACCGGAGCACGAUUUCUGUUCUCAUCCUGAAGCAAAGUUCUUAACCUGAAGCACUAUUUCCGGGUUAGCGGAAUCUGUAACCUGAAGCAUAUGUAACCUGAAGCGUAUGUAACCUGAGGUACCACUGUAUUGGGUUUGACACAUUUUAUGUUACAAGGCACGUUCUAACCAAUCGUAGAAGCGUUGGCAGACAAACGUUCUAAUGGUAAGUAAGCGCAUGCUCUUUCAAUUGUCAACUGUCAACGGUCAGUUCAUGCUUGGGAUUAUUAUCGUGUUGUCCAGUCAGUUUGGUUCUUGUGUUCCUAUGAGUGAGCUGUUGUCACUGACAAAUGUUGACUAAACUUAGUUGAGGAACUUAUACUGCCUUGGGCUUCUGACUUUUCCCGAACAUUUAACACCUUUCUACAUACAGGCCACUCUCCGUGCAAACAGAUAAAUGGAUGCAAAUCUGACAUCAGAAACAGCAGCGUUCUGAAACCAGUGGGCAGACAUUUCCAGCUCUCCAGAUCACCCUGCUACUGAUAAAUUGACCACCACUGAAGAAAGGACCUUCAAAGGGAGACUCCAGCAUGAAUCACCACUGAACUUAUCAGGAAGUUCCAUUCUAUCACCCAAGGAGUGGAGAUAUGGUGUUAAUUGGUUAAAAGUGAUCUUUUCUACAUGGAACAUGCCCACAUUUCAUUGGUUCUCUCACUUCCAUUCUGAAUAGGUUGAGAGAACUUCUGAUUGUGAUCAAGUGCAGCA